GAUUAUAUACCAUUGAUAUACACUUGAUAUACACUGUGUAUACCAGAAUUGAAACUUACUUCAAAACCCAUUUUGGUUAAAAAUAAAAACGUUAAAAACAUUUUGUUUGAAGUAUAUUAAAAAUAUUUAUGAUGUAUAUGAUUUAAUAAAAUGAUUUACUUUAAUAAAAUGAUUUUAUGCAUAUUUAUGAUGACCUAAUGUUGAGACAAAAGAUAAGAUAACUUAAACGUUGUUCUUACAUUGGUUCUACCUAACGACCUUCGUCUUGGGUCUUCGGUCCUGAACUCUUUGGCUCGACUUGGCUUGUCUAUGCAAUCCCGUCAUCAAUAUGCUUCUCGCCAUUUGAUAGUUUGUCAUAUUAUAUCGUUGUUUGACGCUUGACUUCAUUGUUUGUCAUUCAUCAAAACCUAUACCUGAAAAUCAUGCUCAUACAACCAAAGCUCACACAUCAUAGAUAGACAUGAUUUCCAACAAUUUCCCCCUUUUUGAUAAUGACAAACAACGGAAUAUAUGCAUAUUGAAUUUUCCCUAAAUAGGUGCUAUAUCUCAACAAACAGUUUAUGCAACCAAUUCAAUUCAAUAUAAUUCCCC
rnacentral:lncRNA from 1 species